GUGCAAGAAAAAUUUCACACAUCAAAAUCAGCUGUGAAUAUCAGUAUGGCCGCUCAUCUAGCAAAAAAAUAAAAUCGGAUUUUUAUUUUAUUUUAUUUUCAAAACUUACGCAAAAAAUAGGAAAGUUCAGCAGAAGUGUUUGAAUUUUAGUUGUGUUUUAUUUAACUAGUGUCGGUGUUGAUGUUGACUAAAUGUGUUGCGUCAUGACAGAAUAGCCUCUCACUGACAAACAAAUACAAUAAAAAAUUGUAACCACGGAUUACGGCAAACUUGCAGCAUUUCCAUUACAUUCGUGUUUCGUUUUGGCUUGUUUAUCGCGGGCUGAUGUGAAUCGUGCACGUAGAUUUUGAAAACGCAAGAUCAUGACUAGCAUUCGACUAAGUUUCAUUUCGGUGGGCAGAAUCGCCGUGAGGAGAAAUUCGCAGUUGACAUCGGGUCCUGCGCAAACAUGCCGCGGCUUACGGCGGUCCGGCGCGCGCGCACUCAGCACGAGCACGGCGCUCUGCAAGAGUCCCACGGAGCAGCCGCCGGGUCCACCGCACUCGGGGAAGGACGCGUCUAGCACAGGUUCCUCAGGCGGCAAAAAAUCUGGCAGCGGCGUGCUCACGUGCCCCAAAUGCGGCGACCCUUGCACGCACGUGGAGACCUUCGUCAGCUCAACGCGCUUCGUCAAGUGCGAUAAGUGCCACCACUUCUUCGUGGUGCUCAGCGAGGUGGACACCAAGAAGAGCAUCAAGGACAAUGCGGAGAACAAGUCCGGCUUUUAUAGAAAACCGCCGCCCCCGCCCAAGAAGAUAUUCGAAUACCUGAACAAGCACGUGGUCGGGCAGGAGUUCGCGAAGAAGGUGCUCUCCGUCGCUGUGUACAACCACUACAAGAGGAUCUACAACAACGUCACGAGCAACGCGGCCACCGACACACACCAUCCGCUGCAUCACGCGCAUAAAGAGCUGCUGCACCUGAGCCAGGCGGCGGGCGGCGGCGGCGCGGAGGCGCUGGAGCGGCGCUCCUCCGAGCUGCGCCUGGACAAGAGCAACGUGCUGCUGCUCGGGCCCACCGGCAGUGGCAAGACGCUGCUGGCGCAGACGAUCGCGGCGUGCCUGGACGUGCCGUUCGCCAUCUGCGACUGCACCACGCUGACGCAGGCCGGCUACGUGGGAGAGGACAUCGAGAGCGUCAUCGCCAAGCUGCUGCAGGACGCCAACUUCAAUGUGGAACGCGCGCAAACGGGAAUCGUGUUUUUGGAUGAAGUGGACAAAAUAGGCGCAGUGCCCGGCAUACAUCAGCUCAGAGACGUCGGAGGCGAGGGCGUGCAGCAGGGCAUGCUGAAGAUGCUGGAGGGCUGCGUGGUGUCGGUGCCGGAGCGCAACUCGCGCAAGCUGCGCGGCGACGCCGUGCAGGUGGACACCACGGACAUCCUGUUCGUGGCCAGCGGCGCGUACAACGGGCUGGACCGCCUCAUCCAGCGGCGCAGCAACGAGAAGUACCUCGGCUUCGGCGCGUGGGACCCGCGCGCCGGCCGCCGCGCCGCGCUCGCCGCCGCCGCCGCCGACCAGUCGCCGCUGGACGAGCCCGCCGGCGAGGGCGCCGAGCGCGACCGCUGGCUGCGCCGCGUGCAGGCGCGCGACCUCAUCGACUUCGGCAUGAUCCCGGAAUUCGUCGGUAGAUUUCCAGUGCUAGUGCCCUUCCACAGUCUCGACCAGGAUCUCCUCGUUAGGAUACUCACCGAGCCUAAGAACGCUAUUGUCGCCCAGUACAAGCUGCUGUUCGCGAUGGACAAGUGCGAGCUGUCGUUCAGCGACGAGGCGCUGCGCGCCGUCGCCGCGCUCGCCAUGGAGCGCAAGACCGGCGCGCGCGGCCUGCGCGCCAUCAUGGAGAACCUGCUGCUGGAGGUGAUGUUCGAGAUCCCCGGGUCGGACAUCGCGUCGGUGCACAUCCACGAGGGCUGCGUGCGGCGCAGCGAGCCGCCGCGCCUCGCGCGCCGCGACCCGCAGCCCGACCUGCGCCACUGGCCCUCGGUGCGCGCCGCCAACUGAGACAUGCGAUAACACGGCAUUUUUUACUCGCACACAAGACGGCUUCCAUAUGUGACGGUGUGUGACGAGAAUUGCAAGCGGAGAGCGAACCAUCUGUAACUCAAUAUGCGCUGUGAGCGGACACGCGUGGCGGUAAACGGACAGACAUACGAACGAACUUCAUCCUGGAACGACUUGUCUAUGACAAGUGUCAGCCCGCGAUCAUAGAUAAAACUUUGUGUUCCAAUAGCCAGCUGUCUAUUAUCCAUGCCCGCUAUGUUGGUGUUUUUUUUUUUGCAACGAAAUUGAACGUCGAUAGUUUUUUCUUAAAUUCGCUGUUCGGAUUUUGCUCACUUUGUAAUUGUGUUCAACUAAUAAAUAAACCAUUAAACGUCAUUCCUCUCUUGCCGGAAACGAUGCAGUAAAUAUUACGAAUGUGGUAAUAAUUUUGACAAAUAAUAGAUAAUUAAAUUAAUUGAUAUUAUUUGUAAAAAUUAUACGUAUUGCAUCCCAAGAUCCUCAUUUAUAUCUGUAUUGAAUAAUGUAAAAAUAAUGAGAGUGAAGUAAAAAAAAAGAAAAAUUUACGGAUGAUCUUAACAGUAGUUCCUUAUGGUUAAUAAAAAUUGAAAGAUAAUAAUUAUAAAUGUUGCACGGCCGCCGUGCAACAUAGUUUUUGUGAUGUAAAUUACUGUAAAUAUUAAAUAGAAAGAGUAUAUUUAAGGUUUAAUAGAUUAGGCAAUUUUUUUUAAUCUACAUUGUAAGUAACGAUAAUGCAAUUAUUCGGUUGACAAACUGGCAAUGUGUUGCCAUUCAAAGUAUUCGUUCGGAAACCCAAAAUAUUUUGACAUUUUGUUUUUGUUAUACAUAGUUUUUUUUUUAUUUAACACGAAUGUGAUGUGAUUAUAGCUAGGAUAGAAAAUUUAAAUUUUAUCGAAUUUUAGAAACGUUUUGAACGGAUUGUAUAAUCACAUUACAAAUAGAUGAAUAGAAUAAGCUUAUUUUCAAAUAAAACCAUGGAAAAAACGAGA